rnacentral:rRNA from 1 species
ACUCCUACGGGAGGCAGCAGUGGGGAAUAUUGCACAAUGGGCGCAAGCCUGAUGCAGCCAUGCCGCGUGUGUGAAGAAGGCCUUCGGGUUGUAAAGCACUUUCAGUCGUGAGGAAGGUAGUGUAGUUAAUAGCUGCAUUAUUUGACGUUAGCGACAGAAGAAGCACCGGCUAACUCCGUGCCAGCAGCCGCGGUAAUACGGAGGGUGCGAGCGUUAAUCGGAAUUACUGGGCGUAAAGCGCAUGCAGGUGGUUUGUUAAGUCAGAUGUGAAAGCCCGGGGCUCAACCUCGGAAUAGCAUUUGAAACUGGCAGACUAGAGUACUGUAGAGGGGGUAGGAAUUUCAGGUGUAGCGGUGAAAUGCGUAGAGAUCUGAAGGAAUACCGGUGGCGAAGGCGGCCCCUGGACAGAUACUGACACUCAGAUGCGAAAGCGUGGGAGCAAACAGGAUUAGAUACCCCUGGUAGACUGUCA